AACGAACGCUGGCGGCAUGCCUAACACAUGCAAGUCGAACGAGACCUUCGGGUCUAGUGGCGCACGGGUGCGUAACGCGUGGGAACCUGCCCUUAGGUUCGGAAUAACUCACCGAAAGGGGUGCUAAUACCGGAUAAUGUCUUCGGACCAAAGAUUUAUCGCCUUUGGAUGGGCCCGCGUUGGAUUAGCUAGUUGGUAGGGUAAAAGCCUACCAAGGCGACGAUCCAUAGCUGGUCUGAGAGGAUGAUCAGCCACACUGGGACUGAGACACGGCCCAGACUCCUACGGGAGGCAGCAGUGGGGAAUAUUGGACAAUGGGCGAAAGCCUGAUCCAGCAAUGCCGCGUGAGUGAUGAAGGCCUUAGGGUUGUAAAGCUCUUUUACCCGGGAUGAUAAUGACAGUACCGGGAGAAUAAGCGCCGGCUAACUCCGUG
rnacentral:rRNA from 1 species